rnacentral:miRNA from 1 species
AGCUCGUGUCCCAAGGCGCCU